AUCAGUCUUUAGUACGAAAGGACCAAGAUCUGGUGCAUCUCUGGUGUACCUUCUGUUGAUAUUAAAAUUAGCAUCGAAGGGUAGCUAUAUGCAUAAUGAAUAAGAACUGAAAGCAUCUAAGUUUGAAGUCAA
rnacentral:ncRNA from 1 species